rnacentral:rRNA from 1 species
AUUGAACGCUGGCGGCAUGCUUUAUACAUGCAAGUCGAACGGUAACAGGCCGCAAGGUGCUGACGAGUGGCGAACGGGUGAGUAAUGCAUCGGAACGUGCCCAGUCGUGGGGGAUAACUUCUCGAAAGAGUAGCUAAUACCGCAUACGAUCUAUGGAUGAAAGCGGGGGACCGUAAGGCCUCGCGCGAUUGGAGCGGCCGAUGUCAGAUUAGGUAGUUGGUGGGGUAAAGGCUCACCAAGCCAACGAUCUGUAGCUGGUCUGAGAGGACGACCAGCCACACUGGGACUGAGACACGGCCCAGACUCCUACGGGAGGCAGCAGUGGGGAAUUUUGGACAAUGGGCGCAAGCCUGAUCCAGCAAUGCCGCGUGCAGGAAGAAGGCCUUCGGGUUGUAAACUGCUUUUGUACGGAACGAAACGGCUCUGGUUAAUACCCGGGGCUAAUGACGGUACCGUAAGAAUAAGCACCGGCUAACUACGUG